rnacentral:lncRNA from 1 species
CAACAGACAAUUUUUUAAAGAUUUAUUUAUUUAUCUUAUGUAUAUGAGUACACUGUAGCUGUCUUCAGACACACCAGAAGAGGACAUCAUAUCCUAUUACAGAUGGUUGUGAGCCACCAUGUGGUUGUGGGGAAUUGAACUCAGGACCUCUGGAAGAGCAGUCAGUGCUCUUAACUGCUGAGCCAUCUCUCCAGUCCCAGAAGUGUAUAUUCUAAAGGAUGUCAUACCCUUAAAUGGAAAUGAAUGAGUUUCCCAGGCUCUGGUGUAACCUACAGUUACCCUGAGUUGUUACCCUGAGAAAAUCUCCUUUUAAAGAUUCAAAGUUUUAACCCAAUUGCAUGUCUGGAAUUUAAACUGUCAUUUUGGCUCUGUAAAUCACAGAUUACAGCCCUCCCUCAACACUGACUGGCCUCGUAGCUUUUCCUUGAAGUUCUUGUGGACCCCCUCGUUGACCCAAGAAUGAUAUCCUAUUCUGUAUCUAUGCAAAAUCAGAAUCACAUGUCUGCUCUCAUGCUCUACCAUCAGCACAGACUGUCCUUGGAUCAGCUCGGACGAGGACUGCGUGUAAGUGGCAAACAAAAUGAACUGUCACAAGUCCAGUUUGUCAAAGAUUCCCUCUUCCUAGAUGUUGUGUCAGGUUGACAAAGAACUAAGCAGCACUAUCAUCAUGUCAGAUCUUUCUGGAUUGCUUUUCAUUCCCGAGAGUGCCUACAGCCUUUCCCUUCAGAGUUCAAAU